GUGUCAGCAGCCGCGGUAAUACGGAGGGUGCAAGCGUUAAUCGGAAUUACUGGGCGUAAAGCGCACGCAGGCGGUUUGUUAAGUCAGAUGUGAAAUCCCCGGGCUCAACCUGGGAACUGCAUCUGAUACUGGCAAGCUUGAGUCUCGUAGAGGGGGGUAGAAUUCCAGGUGUAGCGGUGAAAUGCGUAGAGAUCUGGAGGAAUACCGGUGGCGAAGGCGGCCCCCUGGACGAAGACUGACGCUCAGGCGCGAAAGCGUGGGGAGCAAACAGGAUUAGAAACCCCCGUAGUCC
rnacentral:rRNA from 1 species